AUUGAACGCUGGCGGCAGGCCUAACACAUGCAAGUCGAACGCGUGGCGGACGGGUGAGUAAUGUCUGGGAACCUGCCCGAUGGAGGGGGAUAACUACUGGAAACGGUAGCUAAUACCGCAUACCAUCGGCUUUGCCCCGAUGGUAUUAGCUUGUAGGUGAGGUAACGGCUCACCUAGGCGACGAUCCCUAGCUGGUCUGCGAGGAUGACCAGCCACACGGGAACUGAGACACGGCCCAGACUCCUACGGGAGGCAGCAGUGGGGAAUAUUGCACAAUGGGCGCAAGCCUGAUGCAGCAAUGCCGCGUGUAUGAAGAAGGCCUUCGGGUUGUAAAGUACUGUCAGCGGGGAGGCGUUACCCGAAGAAGAAGCACCGGCUAACUCCGUGCCAGCAGCCGCGGUAAUAC
rnacentral:rRNA from 1 species